CUUCAAAUUUAAAAAAAAGAAACCCUGAUGAAUAAUGUCUGAUGAAUAAUGUCGCAUAAAUCACCAAAAUACCGAAAAUAUGAAGGUACUAUUAUAUAUGGGGGCUAUACCAAAACGUGGACCUACAUGGCCCAUUUUCAAUAACAAUAGUCCUGCAAACAUAAUAUACAUUUGAGUAAAAUUUUAUCAACCUACUUAAUUUCGUUCGGAAGCUAGAGAUGGACCACAGAUGGACCGACAAACGGACAUCGAUAAAUCGACAUAGAAGUUUAUGCUGAUCAAGAAUAUAUAUACUUUGUGGGGUCUAAAAUUUAUAUUUCGAGGUGUUACAAACGGAAUGAUAAACUAACAGCCUGUUCCACGAUGUCGAAAGAACACGUUCGCACAACUUUUACACGUCAAACAGCUGAUUUCCGUUCCACUAAAAUCCAUCAGAACGAAAAUUUGCACGAAAAUCAAAGCGAACGAAAACGUAAGCGUUUCAGUGUAAUUUUGCGUUCCACUAUCUUUUUUCUUUCGUACGCAUGCGAACACAAAUGUCAAAAUCAGUCACUUGUGUGUUUGCUGUCGAAUGAUAAAAAUUAAGGAAAAUUGUUUUAACAUAAACAUUCCUUGAUUGAAAAUGGAAAGAAAAAUCACGAAAAAACUACACAGCUGCGGGCACUAGUUGAGUAUAUGGGGGAGAAUCCUAAGUUCGCCAGAGGAGUGCCAAUUUUUGGAAGCAGCAGGAAAUCCCAUGAAGACCACUGGAAGACACGAACCUAGAAAAAAUCAUUUUUUUAUUAUUUCAAAAAUGUAAAAAUACAAUCAUACUUACUGGUUGUUAGGUACUUCAAAUAAAUUCGAAGCAUCUCUUAAA